UUCAUCUAAUCUCAUUUAUUUUAGCCUUUGUUGCCCUUGCCUGAGAAGGGUGAUCCAAAAACAAAAAUAAAAAAUUGCUAAGAUUAAUGUCAAAGAGUCCACUGCCUAUGGUUUCUUCUAGGAAUUUUAUAGUUUUAGGUCUUACAUACAAGUCUUUAAUCCAUUUUGAAUUCAUUUUUGUAUACAGUAUAAUAUAGUGGUUCAGUUUUCCCAGCACCAUUUAUUGAAGAGAUGGUCUUUUCCCCACUGUAUAUUCUUGCCUCCUUGGUCAUAGAUUAAUUGACCAUAUAAUCAUAGAUUUAUCUCUGGGCUCUCUAUCCUCUGAUCUGUGUGUCUGUUUCUGUGCCAUUACCAUACUUUUUUGAUUAGUACAACUUUGUAGCAUAGUUUGAAAUCAGAGCGCAUGAUACCUCCAGCUUUGUUCUGCUUUCUCAAGUUUGCUUUGGCUCUUCAGGGUGUUUUGUGGCUCCAUGCAAACUUCAGCAUUCUCUGUUCUAGUUCUGUAAAAAAUGUCACUGCUAUUUUGACAAGGAUUGCAUUGAAUAUGUAUAUUGCUUUGGGUAGUAUGGACAUUUCAACAGUAUUCUUCCAAUUCACGAACAUGGUAUAUCUUUCUAGUUGGGCCAGGUUCAGUUUCUUUUAUCAGUGUCUCAGAGUUUUGAGAGUACAGGUCUUUCACCUCCUUGAUUAAAUUUAUUCCUAGGUAUUUUGUUCUGUUUGAUGUAAAUGUAAAUGGGAUUGUUUUGUUAAUUUCUCAUUCUGAUAACUUAUUUUUAGUGUAGAGAAGUGCAACCAAUUUCUGUAUGUUAUUUUUGUAUCCUGUGACUCUACUGAAUUCAUUUAUUCUAAUAGUUUUUUGGUGGAGUCUUAAGAAUUUUUUAAUAUAUAUAGUACCAUGUCAUCUGCAAAUAGUGACAGUUUUACUUCUUUUCCAAUUAUAAUGCCUUUCAUUUUUCUUUCUUAAUUGCUGUGGCUAGGAUUUCCAAUAUUAUAUUGAAUAAAAAUGGUGAGAGUGGGCAUCCUUGUCUUGUUCCUGAUCUUAGAUGAAAAUCUUUCAACUUUACACCAUUGAGUAUUAUGUUAACUGUGGAUAUGUCCUGUAUGUUCUUUACUAUAUUGAGAUACCUUCCCUCAAUACUCACUUUGUGAGAAUUUAAUACUUGUUGCAAAGCAAAUCUACUGGCAAAACAGUUGCUCAAUUUUUGCUUGUGUGAUAAAGUAUUUCUUUUUAAAUGCUGAAGGAUAAUUUCACAGGGUAAAGAAUUCUAGAUUGGUGACAUUUUCCCUCUCUCCACACUUGAAAUAUUUCACUUCCUUCUCCUCUUGCUUGCAUCGUUUCUGAGAAUCAGAUCUAAUCCUCUGAUCCUCUCUAGAUAAGGUAAUUUUAUCCUCUGGGCUUUUUUUAAGGUUUUUCUUUAUCUUUGAUUUUCUGAAGUUUGGAUAGGGUAUGCCUAAAUGUAACUUUUUGUUUUAUAUUUAUUUGUUUUAUAUUUAUGCUGUUUUACAUUUAUUUCACCAAGCUGCCUACAUUGGUAGUUUGAGGUCCAACAUUAAUAUUUGGAAAUUCUCAUGCAUUAUUGGUUCAAAUAUUUAUUCUGUUACUUUUUCUGGUAUUCCCCAUAUGCAAGUAUCACAUCUUUUGUAGUUGCCCUAGGGUUCUUGCAUAUUCUGUGGCAUGGGUUUUUUGGGGUUUUGUUUGUUUGUUUGUUUGUUUGUUUUCUUUGCUUUUUAGUUUUGGAAGAUUGUAUCGAAAUGUCCUCAAGUUCAGAGAGUCUUUCCUCAGUUGUGUCCUUUCUGUGACAGUGUUAUUGAUCUCUCAUAUUUUUAAUUGAUUCUGAGAAUUUCCAUCACUAUUUCCAUCACUACUUACAUUACACAUCUGUUCUUGUAUAAUCUCUUUUCAUUAACAGAGUUGUUUUGAAUUCCUGCUCUGCUAAUUUUAACAUCCCUGACAUAUGAGUCUGGUUCUAAUGCUUGUUCUAUUUCUUCAAACUGAGAUUUUGACCUUUUAGUACUCUCAGAUUUUUUCUUGGCAUUGGCACAUGAUGUACGAGGUAGAAGGAACCUAGCUCUGGUUCCAGCAAAAGUUUCUGCUUGUGGGUUUCACUCUGAUAAGUUGAGAUUCUCUGUUUCCAUCUAUGUCUCCAAAUUUGGUGCAUCGGUUUGCCCAGCGACCUUAUCUCUGGCAGAUCUGAGAUGAUUUGAUUUUUUCAGUUAUUUUCCUUAUUGUUAAUAUAAAGUAAUGACAUUCACACUCCUUACAUGUAAGACUAGAAUAUGGAACUUAUUGCAAGACAUGAAAGGAAAACAAAAACAAACUUCUUUAACUCUGGAUAACACUUUCUACAUUUUCUUCAAAUAUCCCAUCCAAACCAACAUGUAGGGUUUUUGGUUUUGUUUUAUUUUGUUUUGUUUGUCGUAAACAAAACUUCAGUUAAGAUGUUAACCCCACCACAAAGGCACACAGUUCUGUUAAGGUGAAUAUUGCUAUUGGUGUGAAGAAAUGGAUACAGGUAGCUUCUUAAAAAAACUGUUGUUUGCCACUAGGACCAUAAAUAAGAAAGACAAAAGUCCACAGUGGCCCCAACCAUAAAUAUCCUAAAAACGUAACUAUGAAUCCAAGUUGUUGGGAUAAAUAUUGAACUCGUCUUCCUAUAAAAACAUUUCUUGACUAAACUUUUCGGUUGAAGAACUGUUACAUGCAGUCAUAAAAAUAGUGAAAUUUAAACAGUAUUUAAAAUUUAAAUAAUAUUUAAUGGUAUGUAAUGAAAUAUAUGACCUCCAUUUUUACGAGUUUAUUAGGAUGCCUUUUUUUAACUUAGCCUUUAAUGAUAAUAGGAUAUAAAGCACAAUUCUCAAAAUUUUAUUCAGCUCAUCAAUGAGGGAACCAUCAAGACUUUAAGAGCUCGCCUAACAACUGAGAAAGAAGGAGAUUGGUUAGUCAAGAAAAAAAUGUCUAAAUAUGUCUAAGAUUGCUAAAUUAUGUAUAAGAUUGGCUGUCUAAAGGCCAAUAAAUUAUAUUAUCAAUAUUUUCUGGUUAACCUCUAACUUUAUUGAGCUCUAAACUACCUGCACAUUUAUCAGUUGUGGAUUGUGAGUCAAAUACACUGUGACCACAAAGUUACACCUCCAGGAGUAUCAGAUCAGAAUCCAGCAGGAUUUUAAUAAAAUGCUCUAAUGUCAGAAGUAAGCACUACUUUGCCUCUUUCUAGAUGCGGCUCCAUAGGUCAACUUGUCUUCUACACCAAGAUGCCUUUUGGGUUCAGAGGGAUGAAGUGAAAACUCCCAGCCCCUGCACAUCCCUGCUGGAGCUUUAUGUACAGUAUACAACCCAGACAGACCAGGUGUAGCAUGCUAAAAAAUAAGUGCAGAGUUAAGUUUUGAUCAAUGGAGCGAGAAGAAAUGGAUGCCACAGGAGAAAGGAUCUAAUGCUCUCCCGGUGAAUUGAGAAAGGCAGGUACACAAUUUGUGAAUGACUAAAGAGAUCUCACUGUAUCAUGGAAACCUCAUUGUUGACUUCUGGCCAAUUGCGAGUAACUUCAGUAUCUAAUUCAGAAAAGAAUGGUCUCUUGCUCUUGCCAAAGCAAAAGCUGCAGCAACCUUAAUGGAAGACAGACUCUGCUCUAGGCUAUUUACAACAGGGGACAGGACAACACUCAACUCAAUGUCACUGAGCUGAACUUCAUUGAAGUUGAAUGAGGGCAGAAAAGAGUUCGUAAGUGCUGGCAUGAGAGGCAGAACCCAACUCCUCUGUGUUUGCUAAUUAGAUUUACCCAAAGGAAAAAUAAAUUCUGUAGUACCGUUGGGACAGGAAGUAGUUUUACAACCAGGAGCAAAGCACACAUCAACAUUAGGCUCCUAUCUUUUCACAGAGACUGGGGCGUGCUGGGGGGCUUGGGGGGGGCGUCUAGCUCCCUCGAUGUUUACAUUCAAAAAGAUGGGAUGCAAAACUGGCAAGAUGCUUUUUAAAAGAUUUGUCAUCUCAAAGAGGCAGGAAAAAAUAUUGACAAGCUUCCUUACAUAAAUGUUCUAGAAAGGAACAUCAGGUACCUUUGUAAAAAGUUUGAUGGAGCUGAGGGUAAUGUGAAGGCCAUCUUGGUCGAUGUAUUUAAAUGUGUUUAAAAGUACUGAAGCAGUUGGGGCCCCGGGUGGCUCAGUCAGUUAAGCAUCUGACUCCUGAUCUCAGCUCAGGUCUUGAUCUCAGGGUUGUGAGUUCGAGCCUUGCAUUGGGCUCUUAGCUCAGUGUGAAGCCUGCUUCACAACACCAACAAAAUUGCUGAAGCAGUCUACCUGCCAGAGUUGUAUAGGAAAAUAGAACCAAUAAGAUGGAUGUACCUUCCACUAGAUAUAAAGAGUUGGAUUUAAAGGGAUGGGCUCAUGUUAUCUUGGGGGCUGGCAAGUCUGAAAUUUGCAGGCAGACUGGUGACCCAGGGACGAGUUGAUGCUGCAGUUUGAGUAUGAAAAGCUAUCUACUUUUUACAGGAUCCCCUCUUCCUUGGGAGACCUCAGUCUUUUUCUCUUAAGGCCUUCAACUGAUUGGAUGAGGCCCACCGACAUCAUGGAGAAUAAUCUGCUUUACUCAGAUUAUUCUGAAUUAAAUGUUAAUCUCAUGUAAAACAUACCUUCCCAGCUGCAUCUAAACUGAUGUCUAACCAUCUGUCUGGGUACCAUGACAUCACCAAGUUGACACAUAACAUUAAUCCUCACAGGCUGUAAGCCCAGUAUAUAGAAAAAGCCUCCAAAGGGCUAGAUGGAAUUUUGAGAAUGUGUUUAUCUGUAGAGUAGGUGUCUGAGGAAUAUUCCUGUGCCACUGUUACUGAAUAAAUCAGCUAUUUAAUGGGGGGAAAUUCAGGUGACUUGACAGGGACUCCCUUCUUGUGAGUUUUUAUAGUUUCAGAGAAGCAGAGACCAUCAUAAUUUUUCUUUUCUGGAUAACGAAGCUUGCUUUGAAAUACAUGAA